rnacentral:rRNA from 1 species
UACGGGGGGGGCAAGCGUUGUUCGGAAUUACUGGGCGUAAAGGGCUCGUAGGCGGCCAACUAAGUCGGACGUGAAAUCCCUGGGCUCAACCCAGGAACUGCGUCCGAUACUGGUUGGCUUGAAUCCGGGAGAGGGAUGUGGAAUUCCAGGUGUAGCGGUGAAAUGCGUAGAUAUCUGGAGGAACACCGGUGGCGAAGGCGACAUCCUGGACCGGUAUUGACGCUGAGGCGCGAAAGCCAGGGGAGCAAACGGG